rnacentral:rRNA from 1 species
GACGAACGCUGGCGGCGUGCUUAACACAUGCAAGUCGAACGGAAAGGCCCUGCUUUUGUGGGGUGCUCGAGUGGCGAACGGGUGAGUAACACGUGAGUAACCUGCCCUUGACUUUGGGAUAACUUCAGGAAACUGGGGCUAAUACCGGAUAGGAGCUCCUGCUGCAUGGUGGGGGUUGGAAAGUUUCGGCGGUUGGGGAUGGACUCGCGGCUUAUCAGCUUGUUGGUGGGGUAGUGGCUUACCAAGGCUUUGACGGGUAGCCGGCCUGAGAGGGUGACCGGGCAAAAUGGGAAUGGGGAACCGGCCAAAAUCCUAAGGGGAGGAGGAAGGGGGAAAAAUGGAAAAAGGGCGGAAAGCUGAAGGAGGAAAGGCGCGGGGGGGAAGGAGGCCUUCGGGUUGUAAACCGCUUUCGCCUGUGACGAAGCGUGAGUGACGGUAAUGGGUAAAGAAGCACCGGCUAACUACGUG